CUAGACAUGGAAGCACCUUGUACCUAGUGAUGUGGCAGACAAACUUCAGGGAUAAUUGAUAAAGGAGAAUUAAGGACGGAAGUGCCACGGCAGGCCCGGGUGGCCAGGGAUGUGUCAGAGUAAUAACGCAGGUGAUUCGGCCAGCAGCAACUGCCCUGAGUCCACCGUGAAGACCUAGCAGGAGAGGCUGUAGCAGGUCAGUCGGCUUUAUGGAGUCUAUUAUGUGCUUCACAGCACCUGGGGUCGUGACGAAGAAGGCGUAUGAGUCACCCCUCAACUUGGGCAUUUUGGUGACCUCCCAGAAUAGCCAGAAAGAUGCCAACGGGAGAGACUGACUCUUGGAGCAAAGAGCUCAAAGUGGGCCACUGAAGAAGGGGUCUUCCCAGAGAGAUCACAACUUUCUCGAAGGCAGCGACCCUGUCCUAGUCAUCUCUGACUUUCCAGGACCCAGUCCAGAGCCUGGCACAGGAAAGAAUCAAGGCCUGCUUGCUGGGCCUGGGUGACAACUUGAGGGCAGGAUUCUUGCCUGAUCCAACUUAAUCUCCAGUGUUCAGUACUACUCUCAGGUGUGCUAAACCCCUGCUGAAGGCGGCCGCAGCCUUGAAGGAAGGGUUGGAGUCAGAGGGGCACCAGGAAGGCCUUCCAGGCAAGCAGCAGCAUCUGGAAAGGCAGGAAAGGGGGGCACGCACGGUGUAGACAGAGGAUUUCUACUGGAAGCAAGUGACAGUGAAGGCUGGAAGGAAUUACUUAGAUGGUCAUAAAGCACUACAACCCUGGGUAGUGGACAACAGAUGAAGAAAGAGCAAUUCAGAGACGUCCAGAGACUUGCCUAAGAUCACAUAUGUAGCAGCAGAGCCCAGGACCACUCAUAAACCCAGGACUGCUGACUUCCAGUUCAGGGCCCACCCAGGGCCAGAUGCUGAAAGGCCCUGAAUAUCCUGGAGGGGGGACUGCAAAUCAACUUGGUAAAACCCUGUGUAGCCACAAGAGAGCUGUACCUGGGGGUGGGAGGGGGGUGAUGUAAAGGUCCUGCCUGCACCCACCUCAGGCAGAAAGUCAAGGGAGACGGCACUGGCCACCUGGGCUCAGCACCCUGGGAGGGGCACACUGACCACUGCACAGCUACUGGGUCUGGGCUCCGGACCAGCUGUCACCUCCUGCAUGAUUCCAGCAGGAUGGGUGGGCUACCCCACUCCCAAAAGCUUCAAGAGAGCAGAAAGCUACAUUUGGAGAGAGGAAGGACCUGAGCCAAGCCCAAGGUGGGGAACAGGAGACCUGGGUUCUAGUCUAAGGCCUGUCACCAACUCACUUCAACAAGCCCUUGCCUUUCCUCGGCCUCAGUUUCCCCAUCUGCGGAGGCUCAGUGUGAACCUUACCAGCUCUGAUAUCUCAUUGACAAGCUCUGCUGCUGGACAAAGCCAGUUGCUGUAAUACUCUCCGUCUCUGUCAAUGCCAAGGGCAGCAUCUGGGCCUACAAUAGUCUUCAUGCCGGAGCAAAAUUCCACGAGGCAGUGCGGGGCUGCGUAAAGAGCCCUGGUUUGCUAACGAAGGUGCUGGCUCUCCCAGUCCUAAACCAUAACUUCGCUGUGACCUUUGGCAAAUCACAGCACCGAGCCUCCGUUUCUUCCUCUCUAACAUGUGGACAAGCAACACCCGAGGCCUGGGGUUGCUGCGAGGAAGAGGUGCGAAGAAAGGUAAAAAAAAAAACAAAAGAAAACCCAGAAGAAAACAAAAACAAGAAAACACCUUGCAGCUGCAGAACAAGGGCAUGGCAGGGAUAAUGUAUGACAACUCUGCUUUCAAGGAAGGAACAAGGCGGGCAGGUAACAGCAUCUUGGAUGGAGGGGUGGGAUGGCAAAGGGCCUCUCUGCUCUGCCCCCCAGGGCUGGGUGCACCUUGUGGCCUUGUGUGGCUGCUGCCCUGACUUGGGUUCUGCGAGGGCACAGAGGAAGUGACGCCAGAGGGGCUGGCCCACUCUGGGGUCCCCGGUGAGAGGAAGACCCACCGGUCAGGAAGCAGCUUCCCUGGAGACCUAGGCAGAGGGCUGGGGCCUGGGCUCGAGGGAGGGCUGGGUGGCCCCACAUGCAAGCUGGGAGACCUUAAAGAAGAUGGCUGGGAAUGGAGACAGUUUGGAAGAAUGAGCAGGACUGUCACUCAAGGAUCUCUGUCCAAAGUUUCCACCCAAACUCAGCCACGAGUCAGAGGAGGCAGGAGAGCCUGGUGGUUAAGAGAGCGAAGGCUGGAGAACCAGGCAGCCUGGCUUCCCAGCUCUGCCACCUGCUGCCAGGUCUCCUUGGCACGUACUUAACCUCUGAGUCUCAGAUUCUUCAUCUGAAAAGUGAGGCUCAUAAUCAUUUCCAUCCUGAAGGGCUGUUCUGAGCAUCUGAUAAGAUUACGUCUCUCAAGGUGUAGCAAAGGGCUGCUGAGGAAAGUGCUCUGCAAAGGGCACUGUUCCAGCUCGGUACCUUCCUGGCCCCAGGCCCACAGAGGGUCUGCUGGCAGCACAGCACAGCCGCCACAGCAGCAGCAAGAGAUGGGGAGAGCCAGGCCCCUCAGGGGCGGAGCUCGGCACCCUGUCCCCGUCAUCAUCACUGGUUGCAGGCCGAGCCUGGCUGGCAGGACUCUCCAGAGGCACUGAGGAAGGUCGAAGGAGGCAGAGCCCUCUGGGGACCCCCCUGAAUCUGCCUCUUGUCACCUGAAAAUCAGGGAUAAUAGUCACCCCCUUCCUUACAGGGUACCUGAGUACAGGUCACAAGAGUUGUGGGUGUGGCUGGCUUUGGAAAAGCUGAAAAGAGCCUGUGGAGGUAGGGUCCUUGAAACUCAUAGCAGCAGGGUCCCUGAGGCAGGCAUGGGGGGUAGGGGAGAGGGCAGGGAGACCAGAGACCCCCUAAGCAGGUCCCUGAGGCUCCCUCUCCAGGGGAUGUCCUGAAAGUCUCCCCAACGCUUCCCCUAAAAAUCGAACCAGCUGGCUGAGCACAGUGAAGGUGGGGGACACAGAAGGCACGCUUGGAGGGCCACUCUCCCUGCCUCUUCCCCCGCCCCACGCUGGGAACAGUUUGUCACCUCAGGCCUCUGGGAGCCAGGAGAUAUACUGAGUGGAUGGAAGAGCUGAGCAUGCUCAGAAGAGGCUGCCCUUUAGAGGACACUGCAGAGAAAAGAUGAGGACAAGGCCGGCUGCAAGCCCUGGUCCCGGUGCCAGGAAGGCCCAGAACUCAAGGAACAACGAAGGGAGGCCAGGCCUCUCCUGGGGGAGAACAGGGGCCACAGAGCCACAGGGCUCGUCAAGACCAUGCCGACCAACCUCUCCAUUGCACAGAUGCAGAGAAUGAAGCCCAGAGAGGGGCAGGGACUUGGGUGGAGUCACGCAGCAAGUUGUAGAAGAGCCAGAACACACACCCAGGACAGUUUACCCCAAAGCCAGUCCUUGCUAGGUCCACGGUGCCAUCACACCACUUUUUUUUUUUUUUUUUUAGCUACCUUUUAUUGAGCAUUUCACACUGAUGCUUGGUAUACCUACCUGUGUGAUUCUCCUAACCACCCUGGGACAUGGGCAUCACCACCUUCCUUCUACAAUGGAGGAAACUGAGACACACAGCCUGGUCUCUCUGACUUCACUGCCCUGGCCCCAACCACGCUGCCCCCAGCUCUGAGCCCUGCCUUUCAGUCCUGCUGCCGGGCCAAAUGGGGAGUGCUGGGGGCAGGGACCCUUGCUGUGUGACCCCUGAUGAGCCACUCACCCACUCAAUUUCUGGGACCCUCUCAGGCCCCCAGCAGCCCAGUAUGCUGGGGUUCUGUGUGUGCUCUGCACUGGUACCCCAGUGAAGAAGAUCGGAACUCCUCUAGCAGCACCUCUCAAGUCUAGGUCUGGCCCGGGGACCCCUGCUUAGUGACUGUCUACACUGCCUUGGGGGACACUAUGCAGCCCUCCCACCACACACUGCUACAGGGAAGGAGAAUUAGCACCAAGCCCCAGGCUUUCUCAAUGAGACAGACACUAUUAUUUCCAUUUCCAGAAGAGAAACAGGCUCAGAGCUUAAAAAGCUUGCCCAGGGGUCGCACAGCCAGUAAGCAACAAAACUCGUAUUUGAUCCCAGGACUGCCUGAGCCCAGAGCCCAAGCUCUGCCCUCAUGCCAGGCCGAUUGAUAGGGAACGGCCUGGUAACUGCUUCGUGCAGAAGCUCCCAUCCUCAGGGUGCAGGCCCUGGAGUCCAGCUCAGAUGUGGCUGUGGAGUGACAGCCUGGCUGGGGGCCAAGUGCCCAUCAGUGGUGAGCAGGGCUUGGAGGUGCAGGGUCCCAGGCAGGCUAAGGUUGCCUACCAGCCUGCUUGCCAGCCAGCCCACACCAUAAAAGUAACUGUGCCAUGCCCAGGGAGGAGAUAAGGAAGCCUUUGUCAGUGCCAGCUUUCUCCUGGCCCUGUGCUGGCUGCUGGGCUGGGCAGGGCACAUCAUGUGAUCCUGCACAUGGCCCAGAGGGGCGGGGUGCACAGGCUGCCCUGCAGCAAGGGAGAUGCCGGUGGCAGCCGGAACUGGGCAAGGAACUGGGCAGGACACAGAGGGCCCGGAACUCAAGCCAGAGUCCUGGAUUCUAAUCAGCUCCAUUUCCCAGCCUCCUUGUGAGAUGGGGAUGUUAAUACAAAUGAUAGCCAGCACUUAUCAAGGGCUUCUUCCCCCUCCUAAGUGCCCAUUGAGGGAGGUAAUAUCAUACCCAUAUCACAGAUGAGGAAACUGAGGCUCAGAGAGGCUAGUUACUUGCCCAAGGCUGGCAAGUGGCAGGGCCAAGCAGGAUUCAAGCCCAGGAGGCUGACUCUAGACCUAUAGGUAUUUAUCCUCCAGGCCAUUUCUCUACUGGGUUCCUGUCUGAACCACAGAACAGAGAAAAUGAUCUGGAUAACUAUUUUCUCAGUUCUCCCAAGGAUGGACCUCACUGGAACUGUCUUGGAACGUCCAAAGAAGACUGGGCCUCAGCAUGGUAACGACUAUCGUCGUUGCUAUCACUGGAAUGCAAAGAGCGUCAUUCCUGGAGGCGUGUCCUCCUGCUGCCCUAACUCUUCCAGUCCCUGAGACCCUGGGCCUUGGGUUUCCUCACCUGUAUAAGAAAGGGAAGGGACCAGGUAACCACAAAUGGCUCCUCCACUCUGGCUUCCAGGAUUCAAGGUCGCCUGAUCCACUUUCUUCUGUAUGCGACCUGGGUAAAUUAGUUAACCUCUCUAGAUCUCGGGGUCCUCGUUUGUAAAAUGGGGAUACCUCCCCCCACCUCACCAGGUCAGGUCAGGACCACCGGGGUGAUGAAGGCAGAGGGCCCAGCCUGGUGCCUGUACAAGGCAAGUGCCCGAGGAUGAGGUAGCUCUGCCUUCUAAUCUUUGUGCUGGACUUUUCGUGACGUCACCAUUCACUGCCACUAGAAAGUGUGUCCUGCUGCACCCUCUCCCUGAAAGCAGAUAUCAGGGCUUAGAGCCCCUCCCCACCCCCCAAACCCCCCACACCCCACCUGGGCUAAUAAGGCACCUGCUGCCAGACAGGCCCUGCCCAGCUCCCUGAUAUCACUGCCACGGGAGCUUUCAUAAUGAGCUACAGUUCCAAGGGGCCAUUUCUGCCACUGCGUACCUGGUAUUGCAGGUGGUAGGUAAACACUGGGGAGAGUGGGGCUCACCUGAGCCGGAACAUACAAAUCUUAUCGUGCCAAAUCCUUCUUGGAGAGGGAAGGGUGAGUGAGGCAAAGGCCCCAGCCCAUGCCAGCCAGAUUCUUGACCUCAGCCUGGUUCCUAACCACGCAGCCCAGUGGGGUCCCCUUUCCAGCCUCUGGAAUUCUGUAGACUAGAAGUCUAAGAGACCAGUGAAAUCUAAGCCUUUGUCUUCCUAAGAAGACAGGGAUCAGGGGACCAAGCCUAAGUUCUUCGCGG